rnacentral:rRNA from 1 species
UACGGGGGGGGCAAACGUUGUUCGGAAUUACUGGGCGUAAAGGGCUCGUAGGUGGCCAACUAAGUCAGACGUGAAAUCCCUCGGCUUAACCGGGGAACUGCAUCUGAUACUGGAUGGCUUGAGUUUGGGAGAGGGACGCGGAAUUCCAGGUGUAGCGGUGAAAUGCGUAGAUAUCUGGAGGAACACCGGUGGCGAAGGCGGCGUCCUGGACCAACACUGACACUGAGGAGCGAAAGCCAGGGGAGCAAACGGG